rnacentral:rRNA from 1 species
GUACGUACAUAUUCAUGUUGGAAAGUGUUCCACUUGGCGCUUGCCGAGUAAUCUUGUCGAUAUUAAAUGAGCUAGAACUUGGGUGAUGUUCCUAUUGACACCAUUAAGAUCUCGAUUAUGAACGUGGCUUCGACAGGGUGGUCCCGUCACGUAAAUAACCUCGUUUUGGUCCGCCGAAGCCGGCAAAAGCGACUGAGUCUUAUUGAUUCGACUGGCGUACCCGAACAGGGCCGCCGCACAGCAAGUUCACAGACGGAAUAGUUGAAAGCUACCAUCACAUGCACUGAUGGUACCAACACUGCCCAUUGCCUCCUAGUCCCAAGCUGAGGCCUCUUCCGCGGACUCUUUACCGCUGAUGCAGAUUCCUACCGUCGUCCGCGCGUUUAAUGGGUGAGAGCCAAGCUCCUCCAUCACUGCUUUUUAUUGUUCCGGCAAGAGAUGCUCCGGCCGGUAACCUUACCCAUGUUGAGUUUGGGAAAUUGCUCAUAGUUACUCUCCCGUUCAGACCACGGUCGUCGGCGCCAUUAAGGUCGAGAGUUUUACGUAUCUUGGUAACGACGCCAAUUUUUCGAGCAUCAACCUAGACACGACCGCGGCACCAGGUGGGACUGCCCGCCAUGACGCACGCAGCCGAAACCCGGCCAGAAGCCGGCCACCGGAAUUGACCAGCGGCAGGCACCGACCGACCAAAUGAAACUCGUUUAGUCUCACGAGUCGUGUCCGCAGAACGGCCAUACAAGCACGUACCUUAUUAUCUUGUCCUAGUGCCAGGAGAAAAUAACCAAAACACCUGACUCUAUUACCAAUUGUCUCUGCUGCCCCCGUAAGCAUAACGACGCACUCUCCACUCUAAGAACCUGGCGUCGUCCUGCCUGAUGUCGCUUUCGUAAACGGUUCGCGCAGAAGUAAUUAGUUCUUGCUUUCAGUCUCCAAGCUUCCGCUAGUCUAUGGCGGGAUCAAAAACUGGCAUUUGCUACGGUUGAUCGCUAGGCGGCCACCGAUGUACCGGGACCACCCCUCGAAGGGCCUUUGCUUUCAGAAGGCCAAGGCCCCCUUCAUACCAACGUUUCGACUUUGAAUUUCCUUAACUGCCUUCCCGUGGUGGUCCUCACCUCGGACGCCGAAUUAAACUGAGUUGUGCCCUUUUGAGUGGGCCGGGCCUGUGGCACUCCUAACUGUCUAACUAUCGAAAAAGUACUAAGCCACCAACCACCACGUACCGGCAAGAAUCAAGCACCUAGCUAAACAGACCAAAUAAGGCUAUUGCUCGCUCUGAGGUCGGAUGAUUUAUCACGCCCGUAACGAUAACACGGUACAUGAAGAAUCUCCCUAACCGACGCAGAUCGCCGUGCUUUGCCUCGUUAUUGUCCAGACACUACGGGAAUCUACAGGCCCCGACGUGCGCGCGAUGUGACCGUUUCCGUCGCACGAACAGGCAGAGGCUUUCCUCGGCCAUUUGGGAACUUUUAAACGGCACUAACCCUAGCCUUUAACGUUAAUAAAAGGCACUUGCUCCUUAAGGAUCAUUCACGCUCAGUAGUCGAGCGCAACUAAUGCAGGGACGGGAAACAUGUGUGGCGGGCAGCGACGGAUCUUGACUCGGUAAAGCUCUUAUAAGCCCUAGCGACCAACGCCCAGGAAGUGCCCUGUGCGGAGACCGGCCUCUUGCUUGCAUUAGCGUCACCGAACUUGGCCCGUUCCG